rnacentral:snoRNA from 1 species
GCCAAUGAUGGAAAAACAGAGACAGUCUGAAAUGCAGUUGUUUUGGUUAGCUGCAUAAAUUUGUUGAAAUUUCAUAAACUAGGACGGCCUGAGGC